UCAGACUUACCAAAAGAUUUUUCACUGUUCUUCAUUUCUUUGGCGAAGAAGCAAUAUACAUUUUUAAAUUUGCAAAAGCAGGCUUUGUGCCCCUGUGCGUGGGUGUGACCCCAUCAAAAGCAGCACGCCAUGAAGCAGAGAGCUCACAUCUAUGACUGUUGGGAAAUGGAACAACUGAGUCAGGCAGAACUCCGUGCCAAACCUCUUCUGCUUUAUAGCAACUCCAAUCCUUUAAAGAUUCUGCCAAAGUCUUUGGAAGUCUGCUGCUCAAUAACAUACUUUGGGAAUAGUAUUGAUAUAUUCAGCGGAGUAGAGAAGCUCAAUCUCCUCAUCUGAAACACCAAGGAGACUGAGGUUGUUCGUGGGAGAAGCUGCCUGCCAGCAUUCCUGAAAACUUACUUUUGGAGCAUCUGUUUUGUUUUUAAGGGAGGUCUGGACCAAACUACGUUGCAUUAAAUGGAAAGGCUAUGAAGCAAAGCUUCCUUUCUCCCUGAAGUUCCAGGAGACAGGUCGCUGGAGUCUUGCAUUGCUCCCUACCCUGCUCUCUCUCCUAGGUCUACGCGUCUUGACUGACCUCAAUGCAAAAUCAGAAUCACCCUGUUCUUUUUCACUGCUUACCCCUUUAUCAUUGUUCUUACAUGAUUAUGCCUGGGAACACAGAGAUCUGGUUCUGUGCUUUUGUUAUUGUUCUUUCUAAUGGACAAAGGUCGUUUAUUGCACUUUUCUAUAGAGGAAGAUCACCACAUUUCUAAAACCAGGACUAAACUGAUUAAUAACCCUGAUAAUACUCCAAAAUUACCAAAGCACAAAGGAGUCACUCUUUUUUUUAAAGGAUGGAAUAAAAAUACUCAUUUACAGACUUGAAUCUGAAGUUACUAAUAAAUCUAUUUAAAUAAGGAAAAGAAAAAAAAAAAAAAGGAGUCCAGACAGAAUGCCUCAUUUCUUCAUUGUUCACCAGUCUGCAAUGGGUGAAAUUAUUCCUCAUCUUAAAAAAAACGUCCUGGAAAACUUUCAGAUGCCUCAUGUUAUUGCAUCUGUAUCACCACGUGACCCCACAUCUUGGACUUGUUCUGUGUCACCUCACUUCAGAAUGGUGCUGAAGUGCUGCAGAGCUCUGUAAGGUGACUGAUGCUGUCGAAUGGGUAAGCACCCUGAAAAGGUGUAACAUAGAGGGAGUAACAGGGUGGCAAAUUCACAGCAUCUCUGUUUACGGGUUUGAGGAUUUGCAGCUUGGAACUGGGAGCUGAAGUGCCCUGCUUCCAAUCAAACACACAAACAUGGGCUGACUUCUCUGUAAAAUCAGUUCUGGUCAACUCUGGGUGUUAGGAGUGAAAGACAAUGUGAAAAAGCUCCAUGAAACUCAUAUCUCUGUAAGUUUCAGUGACACUGUUGAGACCAAUUUUUUUGCAGGGUUCUGCAGCUGCUUGGAGUACAAUGUGUGUGUGUAUAUAUACAGUUCAUCAGCUGCUUUUUCUCCAUUUACAAGAAACAAACAAAAAAAAAAUCAGGAAAAUGUUUACUUGCUUGAAAUCCCACUAAUUCUUGUGAAUGAGAAAUUGUUUUGUUGAGACCUACCAAGCACUGGGCAACAUUUAUCCCAAUAAUGACAGCGAGCUCUGCUGCACAGCUAAUGGUGUUUUGUGUUCUGCUAAGUUAAACUUGCUGUUAAUAUUCUUGCAGUAUACUCAAAACAAAUCUCUCAAACGUAAGUACGUUUGCUUUAGGAUGAGAGCACUCCCCCUUAUACUAACAGAGGGGUUUCCAGGCACAGAAGUGUUUUCUGGCGCGAAUAUCUACAACUCGAACCACCCUCAUAACAACACCGUGGGGGAAGCCGAGGCCACGCCGCCGCGUGAUGUACCUGCAGUCACAGCGGGAGCAACGGCACAAGAGCCAAGGCUAGAGGAACGCGUGAUUUUGCCCUCGAGGCCACGACUCCCAGCCCGGGGCCGACGAGCCGAACGCCCACCGGCAGUAAACGCCCGCACGGCUUCCUCCGCGCCAUCCACGUGACAAGGGAAAAAACCGAGUCGCUUAUUUUCGGCUCCUGGAUGCACCUGACCAUCUGCGAGCGCACGAGCCGUGCGCUCUUACUGCGCCUGGCAGCCGCUCGUUCUCCGCGCCAACUUGUAAAAACGUCCGUCCUUCCCCCUUC